rnacentral:misc_RNA from 1 species
GAUGAAGAACGCAGCGAAAUGCGAUAAGUAAUGUGAAUUGCAGAAUUCAGUGAAUCAUCGAAUCUUUGAACGCACAUUGCGCCCGUCAGUAUUCUGGCGGGCAUGCCUGUUCGAGCGUCAUUACGCCCCUCAAGUCCCCUGUGGACUUGGUGUUGGGGAUCGGCGAGGCUGGUUUUCCAGCACAGCCGUCCCUUAAAUUAAUUGGCGGUCUCGCCGUGGCCCUCCUCUGCGCAGUAGUAAAACACUCGCAACAGGAGCCCGGCGCGGUCCACUGCCGUAAAACCCCCCAACUUUUUAUAGUUGACCUCGAAUCAGGUAGGACUACCCGCUGAACUUAAGCAUAUAAUAAGCGGAGGA